rnacentral:rRNA from 1 species
UACGGGGGGGCAAGCGUUGUUCGGAUUUACUGGGCGUAAAGCGCACGUAGGCGGAUCGUUAAGUCGGGGGUGAAAUCCUGGAGCUCAACUCCAGAACUGCCUUCGAUACUGGCGAUCUUGAGUCCGGAAGAGGUGAGUGGAACUCCUAGUGUAGAGGUGGAAUUCGUAGAUAUUAGGAAGAACACCAAGUGGCGAAGGCGGCUCACUGGUCCGGGUAACUGACGCUGAGGUGACGAAAGCGUGGGGAGCAAACAGG